ACUGAUUAUUUGUGACUGAGUGGCGGACGGGUGAGUAACGCGUGGGUAACCUGCCUUGUACAGGGGGAUAACAGUUGGAAACGGCUGCUAAUACCGCAUAAGCGCACAGCAUCGCAUGAUUCUUAUGCCAAAGAUUUAUCGCUUCAAGAUGGCCUCGCGUCUGAUUAGCUAGUUGGCGGGGUAACGGCCCACCAAGGCGACGAUCAGUAGCCGACCUGAGAGGGUGAUCGGCCACAUUGGAACUGAGAAACGGUCCAGACUCC
rnacentral:rRNA from 1 species